UUGAUUAAGAGUUUGAUCCUGGCUCAGGACGAACGCUGGCGGCGCGCCUAACACAUGCAAGUCGAACGGAGCUUUGUAUUCUGAAGUUUUCGGAUGGACGAAGAUAAAGCUUAGUGGCGAACGGGUGAGUAACACGUGAGGAACCUGCCUUUCAGAGGGGGACAACAGUUGGAAACGACUGCUAAUACCGCAUAAGACCACAGCACCGCAUGGUGCAGUGAUCAAAGGAGCAAUCCGCUGAAAGAUGGACUCGCGUCCGAUUAGCUAGAUGGUGAGGUAACGGCCCACCAUGGCGACGAUCGGUAGCCGGACUGAGAGGUUGAACGGCCACAUUGGGACUGAGACACGGCCCAGACUCCUACGGGAGGCAGCAGUGGGGGAUAUUGCACAAUGGAGGAAACUCUGAUGCAGCGACGCCGCGUGAGGGAAGAAGGUCUUCGGAUUGUAAACCUCUGUCUUCGGGGACGAAAUAAAUGACGGUACUCGAGGAGGAAGCCACGGCUAACUACGUGCCAGCAGCCGCGGUAAAACGUAGGUGGCAAGCGUUGUCCGGAAUUACUGGGUGUAAAGGGAGCGCAGGCGGAACUGCAAGUUGGAUGUCAAAUCUACGGGCUCAACCCGUAUACGCAUUCAAAACUGCGGUUCUUGAGUAGUGCAGAGGUAGGCGGAAUUCCCGGUGUAGCGGUGGAAUGCGUAGAUAUCGGGAGGAACACCAGUGGCGAAGGCGGCCUACUGGGCACCAACUGACGCUGAGGCUCGAAAGCAUGGGUAGCAAACAGGAUUAGAUACCCUGGUAGUCCAUGCCGUAAACGAUGAUUACUAGGUGUGGGGGGAUUGACCCCCUCCGUGCCGCAGUUAACACAAUAAGUAAUCCACCUGGGGAGUACGACCGCAAGGUUGAAACUCAAAGGAAUUGACGGGGGCCCGCACAAGCAGUGGAGUAUGUGGUUUAAUUCGAAGCAACGCGAAGAACCUUACCAGGUCUUGACAUCCCGUGCAUAGCAUAGAGAUAUGUGAAGUCUUUCGGGACACGGAGACAGGUGGUGCAUGGUUGUCGUCAGCUCGUGUCGUGAGAUGUUGGGUUAAGUCCCGCAACGAGCGCAACCCUUAUUGCUAGUUACUACGCAAGAGGACUCUAGCAAGACUGCCGUUGACAAAACGGAGGAAGGUGGGGAUGACGUCAAAUCAUCAUGCCCUUUAUGACCUGGGCUACACACGUACUACAAUGGCUAUUAACAGAGAGAAGCGAAGUCGCGAGGCCGAGCAAACCUCAGAAAAAUAGUCUCAGUUCGGAUUGGAGGCUGCAACCCGCCUCCAUGAAGCCGGAAUUGCUAGUAAUCGCGGAUCAGCAUGCCGCGGUGAAUACGUUCCCGGGCCUUGUACACACCGCCCGUCACACCAUGAGAGCCGGGGGGACCCGAAGUCGGUAGUCUAACCGCAAGGAGGACGCCGCCGAAGGUAAAACUGGUGAUUGGGGUGAAGUCGUAACAAGGUAGCCGUAUCGGAAGGUGCGGCUGGAUCACCUCCUUUCUAAGGA
rnacentral:rRNA from 1 species